CCUACGGGAGGCAGCAGUGGGGAAUAUUGGGCAAUGGGCGAAAGCCUGACCCAGCAACGCCGCGUGAAGGAAGAAGGCUUUCGGGUUGUAAACUUCUUUUGACAGGGAAGAGCAGAAGACGGUACCUGUCGAAUAAGCCACGGCUAACUACGUGCCAGCAGCCGCGGUAAUACGUAGGUGGCAAGCGUUGUCCGGAUUUACUGGGGGUAAAGGGCGUGUAGCCGGGCUGACAAGUCAGACGUGAAAUCCGGGGGCUCAACCCCCGAACUGCAUUUGAAACUGUUGGUCUUGAGUAUCGGAGAGGCAGGCGGAAUUCCUAGUGUAGCAGUGAAAUGCGUAGAUAUUAGGAGGAACACCAGUGGCGAAGGCGGCCUGCUGGACGACAACUGACGGUGAGGCGCGAAAGCGUGGGGAGCAAACAGGAUUAGAUACCCGAGUAGUC
rnacentral:rRNA from 1 species